GGUUUAAAAAAAAACAUAAGAAUACACACAAGGGGCAAUUGGUAACCAUGGACGAAAGCUCAGCAAACACCAUCAACAGCCAUUUGAAUAAAUAUCCAGAUUCACUGGAUCUUCAGACAACCCAACCCCAGUCUCUCUCUAACUGCAACUGCCUAAGAACCCUGACAUGGGAACCACACAAAGGAACCCCAAGACAAGCCUCAACUGGGACAGGUAGUAAUGAGCUAAUUUUCAGUAAGGAUGUGUUCUUCUAUGCAAUAGAAGAUACCGAAAGGCCUUCAUUUAGAACCUGCAAGACACCUUAUCGCUAUAAAGAGGACCCCAGAGGGCACUGAGAAU
rnacentral:lncRNA from 1 species